AUGGGUAGCGGGAAGAAGAAGGCUCAGAUGUUUGUAAAACUUGUGUCUGCUGCCGGAACUGGAUUCUUCUAUGUAAAGAGGAAACCUAGAACGUUUACAGAGAAGCUUGAGUUUCCUUUUUCUGUUUUACUCAAUGUGAAACUUCUUUCAUCAACAACUCCUAAUAAGCCAAUAUUCAGGGAACAUGAAAAUAUCAUUGCCUCAAGUAUUGCUGUUUUUUUUCCUGGCACACAAAUUGUUUCUCCCAUGAAAACAACAAAUUAG